rnacentral:rRNA from 1 species
GACGAACGCUGGCGGCGUGCUUAACACAUGCAAGUCGAACGGAAAGGCCCUGCUUUUGUGGGGUGCUCGAGUGGCGAACGGGUGAGUAACACGUGAGUAACCUGCCCUUGACUUUGGGAUAACUUCAGGAAACUGGGGCUAAUACCGGAUAGGAGCUCCUGCUGCAUGGUGGGGGUUGGAAAGUUUCGGCGGUUGGGGAUGGACUCGCGGCUUAUCAGCUUGUUGGUGGGGUAGUGGCUUACCAAGGCUUUGACGGGUAGCCGGCCUGAGAGGGUGACCGGCAACAUUGGGACUGAGAUACGGCCCAGACUCCUACGGGAGGCAGCAGUGGGGAAUAUUGCACAAUGGGCGGAAGCCCGAUGCGGCAACGCCGCGUGCGGGAUGACGGCCUUCGGGUUGUAAACCGCUUUCGCCUGUGACGAAGCGUGAGUGACGGUAAUGGGUAAAGAAGCACCGGCUAACUACGUG